AUUGAACGCUGGCGGCAGGCCUAACACAUGCAAGUCGAGCGAGCGGCGGACGGGUGAGUAAUGUAUGGGGACUGCCCGAUCGAGGGGGAUAACUACUGGAAACGGUAGCUAAUACCGCAUACUAUCGGAUAACCCAUAUGGGAUUAGCUAGUAGGUGAGGUAAGGGCUCACCUAGGCGACGAUCCCUAGCUGGUCUGAGAGACAUAUCAGCAAAACUGGGACUGGGACACGGCCCAGACUCCUACGGAGGCAGCAGUGGGGAAUAUUGGACAAUGGGCGCAAGCCGGAUGCAGCCAUGCCGCGUGUAUGAAGAAGGUCCUAGGGUUGUAAAGUACUUUCAGUCGGGAGGCGUUACCGACAGAAGAAGCACCGGCUAACUCCGUGCCAGCAGCCGCGGUAAUUC
rnacentral:rRNA from 1 species